GCCGGGGUAGCUCAGCAGGCAGAGCAGCGCUCUUGUAAAGCGAAGGUCAGGGGUUCGACUCCCCUCCCCGGCU
rnacentral:tRNA from 2 species